GUAAGGAAUAUUGGACAAUGGACGCAAGUCUGAUCCAGCCAUGCCGCGUGAAGGAUUAAGGUCCUCUGGAUUGUAAACUUCUUUUAUAAGGGACGAAAAAAGGCUUUUCUAAGUCGUCUGACGGUACCUUAUGAAUAAGCACCGGCUAACUCCGUGCCAGCAGCCGCGGUAAUACGGAGGGUGCAAGCGUUAUCCGGAUUCACUGGGUUUAAAGGGUGCGUAGGCGGGCAGGUAAGUCAGUGGUGAAAUCCUAGAGCUUAACUCUAGAACUGCCAUUGAUACUAUCUGUCUUGAAUAUUGUGGAGGUAAGCGGAAUAUGUCAUGUAGCGGUGAAAUGCUUAGAUAUGACAUAGAACACCUAUUGCGAAGGCAGCUUACUACGCAUAUAUUGACGCUGAGGCACGAAAGCGUGGGGAGCAAACAGGAUUAGAAACCCUGGUAGUCC
rnacentral:rRNA from 1 species